rnacentral:rRNA from 1 species
UACGGGAGGCAGCAGUGGGGAAUAUUGCACAAUGGGCGCAAGCCUGAUGCAGCCAUGCCGCGUGUAUGAAAAAGGCCUUCGGGUUGUAAAGUACUUUCAGUCGUGAGGAAGGUGUUAAGGUUAAUAACCUUAGCAAUUGACGUUAGCGACAGAAGAAGCACCGGCUAACUCCGUGCCAGCAGCCGCGGUAAUACGGAGGGUGCGAGCGUUAAUCGGAAUUACUGGGCGUAAAGGGCACGCAGGCGGCUAAUUAAGUUGGAUGUGAAAUCCCCGGGCUUAACCUGGGAAUGGCAUUCAAGACUGGUUAGCUAGAGUCUUGUAGAGGGGGUAGAAUUCCAUGUGUAGCGGUGAAAUGCGUAGAGAUGUGGAGGAAUACCGGUGGCGAAGGCGGCCCCUGGACAAAGGCUGACGCUCAUGUGCGAAAGCGUGGGGAGCAAACGAGGGAUUAGAUACC